rfam:Ictidomys tridecemlineatus contig020440, whole genome shotgun sequence.
GGGGUUGUAGCUCAGUGGUAGAGCACUUGCCUAGCAUGUGUGAGGCACUGGGUUCAAUUCUCAGCACCA